AUGGACAGGGCAAGAAUCAUUGAGAAGGUGGAAGUACAGGAACGACAGUGCCAUUGCAAAUGCAAACUUUUUAAUAGAUGUCGAUGCAUUGAACAAUUUUCACAGAUUGGAAUCGAUGAAUUAAGUUGAAGGCUUGAUAAGUAUUCACCAUAUGAGAAAGAUCUUAUAAUACUUGGUGUGAUUUUGCAAAGCAUUUGCAUGUCUUGAGUAUGUAGAAUCUAAGAAGAAGCGUCGCACUAAAUGACAAUGCACACAAAUGAAGAUGUUUAUGUAUGAAGGGAAGCAAAUUUGCCUAUACACUUUCUUAUUUUUAUUUGGAAUCUGGAAAGAUCGUUGUGCUUUGAAGAGCCAUAAUGAGAAGAAUGGAUUAGUCCAAAGACACAAGAAAUCAGAAGACGUGAGAAGCGAUCCUUUAGUCUUGAGGUUAUCAGGAAUGUGGUGAACUUGUUAAAUUAUGCCGAGAUUCACUCCUGGAGUCAAGAACUUCGAUGGAAUCAAACAUCCUCCUGCACAUUGUUCCAAGGCAAAGGUAUACAUGGACUCUUUCGGAGAAGGGUACAGCAUCUGAUGCUGAAAAGACAGAGAAAACACAAGAGUAUUUGCACCAUCUUUUUCAGGUUGCAGGUGAGAGAAUGUUGUACCAAUCAAGGUGCAAGGCGGCAAAGGAAACUGCCAAGGCACAUGUGUUGGCUGGUUUGCAAAGGAGCGAAGCAAAUACGCGUGACACAAUUUCCAUUACUCAAUUGAUUACGCCCAACAGGUUCACUACCCGACAAAUCUGAUGCAGUCAGGCCCAAUAUUUUUUAAAGCAUG